CAUAAGGUGGCUAAACAUGACAGAAUGAGAGCUGCAUUGUGAGGACAUAAGGUGGCUAAACAUGACAGAAUGAGAGCUGCAUUGUAAGGACAUAAGGUGGCUAAACAUGACAGAAUGAGAGCUGCAUUGUAAGGACAUAAGGUGGCUAAACAUGACAGAAUGAGAGCUGCAUUGUGAGGACAUAAGGUGGCUAAACAUGACAGAAUGAGAGCUGCAUUGUAAGGACAUAAGGUGGCUAAACAUGACAGAAUGAGAGCUGCAUUGUAAGGACAUAAGGUGGCUAAACAUGACAGAAUGAG